rnacentral:ncRNA from 1 species
AUAUUUGCGAUGAAGAGAAGAGUAGAUAAAAUCCAUUCUUUACAGAGAGCUCCGGUUGCUGAAAAGGAGUAAGAUUGAUUUAUUGAACCAAGCCUCUGAGCAUCACAUUGGAACUAUUCAUAGGGAUAGUGUGACGGGAGCUCCUGUUAUAGAGCUAGGGUAUAAGUAUUGUUUUUGAAUACCGUACCUGAAGAGGUUAAUAUGGCGACAUAUUAAUAAACUGGGGUGGCACCGCGAUACAAAUCUCGCCCCAAGG